UACGGGGGGGGCAAGCGUUGUUCGGAAUUACUGGGCGUAAAGGGCUCGUAGGUGGCCAACUAAGUCGGACGUGAAAUCCCGCGGCUUAACUGCGGGCUUGCGGUUGAUACGGGCGGGCUAGAGUUCGGUAGGGGAGACUGGAAUUCCUGGUGUAGCGGUGAAAUGCGCAGAUAUCAGGAGGAACACCGGUGGCGAAGGCGGCAUCCUGGACCAACACUGACGCUGAGGAGCGAAAGCCAGGGGAGCAAACGGG
rnacentral:rRNA from 1 species